GGAUGCGAUCAUACCAGCACUAAUGCACCGGAUCCCAUCACUGAACAGUCAGUUUUGGGCGAGAGUAGUACUAGGAUGGGUGACCCCUGGGAAGUCCUCGUGUUGCAUCCC
rnacentral:rRNA from 1 species